rnacentral:lncRNA from 1 species
UUUUUAGAAGUCUUUCUUUUUAAAAAAAUAAUAAAAUAAAACAAAAAUCAAAAUAAACAAGAUUUUCUUUCUUAUUUAAAGUAUUCCUUUCAAAAAUUCCAAAAAAAAAAUAUAAAAAAAUUUAUAAGUAAAUAAACAAAGAAUAGCCAAAUCUUUUGAGCCCUAUGCUAAAUGAGCACUUGCUUCUUUAUUUUGUUAGUUUCGAACUACGUAAUGAUCUGAUUCACGUAGGCAUCGUGAUACGUAGGCAAUCCUCAUCGGAUCCGGUCGCAUUUCUUUUACUGCAAAACAAAAGAAAAACAAAAAAAUAUAUAUAUAAUAAAAAAAAGGGAAAAACUAAUAAGAGGAAAAAUACCGGAAUGACGCAUGCUCUCGUAGCAAACAUAUAGUAAUCCACUUAACUGUAUAGGUGCAUCAUGCCCAACGUGAGAUUAACUAUCUGUUAUUUGCUGCAAAUUAACCGUGCGCUUGUCG